CUAAAAAUAGUUUAUUUGUUUUUAUUAUUUUAAAACCAUUAAGGCAAAACUGUACCCUGAAAUUAACUCUUUACAUUCAUCAGUCUUACAGUGGACAUUCCCGGCACAUAAAUUCUCAUAAAUCCAGGAUAUAAAUCAAUACCUCCAGUCCAACUUCCUAAUAGGAAAAGGAAGAUCCAAGAUUUAAAAAAGAAAAUUAAGGUUAUAUCAAAGCCAUUUUCUAAUUGCCUGGGAACCAAUCAGUUAAUGUAACUAGAAAAAUUACCUUUGCCCUCUGUGCAAGGUCCUAGGCACCCCAUACCUGGACAGAACUGGGAGGAUUGUAAAGACACUGGAAUAGACUCAUAUGCUGAUGGGAACUUCUCUGCUCACCGAUGAAGGACUGAAAGCCCCCUCAUGCUCUGAGACAGUAAGGCACCAAAGACAGUGAAGGAGCUGGGGGAACCAAGCCCAGUCCUUGCUCUGGGGACCUGCAUGUUCUCAUGGCUGUCAAGACUGUCAGCCCUAGGGUUUUAGCAUAAUGACACUGGUUCCCAGAGGAAGUUACAGAGACUCGUCAGGAAGAAAUUUGGCACAAUACUGGGAAUGAGGGAUGAGGGCCUCAGGGGUCUGUGGUCUGCUUUAUGCUUUGUGCUGGCCAUUGGGAAGCUGCCAGAGAACCAGCAAGUGCAAAUACUUUCCAUCUAAGAGUUCUGAUUCUAGGAAAAGUUCUUUGGUAAUGACCAUAGGUGAUAAUUCCCUGAAGAGCAUAUUAACUGAAGAGCUGCUAACUAAACAAGAAUAGUUCAUAGUCCUGAUCAGAACACUGUGGUAGAAGUCAGUGGCCUCUGGCAUGGGCAGAAAUAAGGCAAGGCAGAUGUGCUUGUGGCAUGGAAGUAUGGUGAGGGAGGGGAUUAGCACGUUGGAAGUAGGUAGCGUGUGGCUCAGGAGACAGACACGGCCAGUUGGGACUGUGCAUGCACACAGGCAGUUACAUUUCAGUUUAUCUCCGCUUCCUUUGACUCUAGCAGACUCAAGAGCCAGCCUUUUUACAUCCUCAACAAUGAACACUGACCUACAAGAUUCCAGAUAUUUGUUAUUAGAGGCAUUAGUCAACUAUUUGCAUUAGGAGUCUUAAAAAAAAAACAAAACCUCAAAACCCAAUCACAGUAUUUAAGAUAUGGCUAUUUACGUAACUUUUUCCAUUAGUGUAAAAAUGCAGUAGUACCAACACAAAUAAUACUGUCAUUUUAACCAGAAAGGGUACUAAAGCUGAAGCCAUCUAUUGUGAGGUACCUUUCGUCUUGGGCCUGAAAAAAAAAAGACUGUGCCUUUAAAAAAAGAA